AAUAUCUAAGCAGCAAAGGGUUCUAGGUGCUGCAUGGCUGCUUUUGGAUGUUUACAGUAAAAUAAAAAGAGAAAAAUUAUUUAAAGAUGGAAUUUAUAAUUAAAAGGAAAGCAGAAUGAAAAGAUUUGGAAAACUCUCGGGCUGGCCAUGUAAAGAAUUUUAAAAUGUGUUGGGAGAGAAUACUAAGGUGUGGCCAAGUGACUAUUUUGCUGAAGAGAAUUAACAUUAAUAGAAAGAAGUCAGGUUCUAUUCAUUAAGACAAUAGGAGAAAGACCUCAAUUGUAUUUCAGAGAUCUUCAAGGCAAGCUAGGACUCUGAGGGUGAGGUUUCCAGAGAGGCUCCUGUGGGACCUCAGCAUUUGCUGCUCAGGGCACCUCGGGAUUCUGCUUUCUGAAUUCCAGUGCAGAGCCCCUUGCCUGCCCCAGUCCCUGACUCAGGUAGAUCCAGAUGGGGCUCAUGCUACAGCUCCAGACAGCACAAGCAGGAAGCCUUGGUAGCAUCUAUGUGAUGCCAACUUCAUAGAUGUGCAGAGUGCAUGAGCUGUGGGGCCAUGGUAGCCUCCACUUAUAUUUCAAAAGAUGUUGCAGACAGCCUGGGGGCCCAGGCAGAAACCUG
rnacentral:lncRNA from 1 species